GGUCUUGCGGGUUGUAAACCUCUUUUGACCGGGACGAAAGGUUCGGGCUAAUACCCCGGGGGGAUGACGGCUCCUGAAAAAUAAGCCCCGGCUAACUACCGUGCCAGAGCCGCGUAAUA
rnacentral:rRNA from 1 species